rnacentral:rRNA from 1 species
CCUACGGGUGGCAGCAGUGGGGAAUAUUGCACAAUGGGGGAAACCCUGAUGCAGCGACGCCGCGUGAGCGAUGACGUCUUUCGGUAUGUAAAGCUCUAUCAGCAGGGAAGAAAAUAACGAUACCUGCCUAAUAAGCCCCGGCUACCGACGUGCCAGCAGCCGCGGUAAUACGUAGGGGGCAAGCGUUAUCCGGAUUUACUGGGUGUAAAGGGAGCGUAGACGGCGGUGCAAGCGAGAUGUGAAAGCCCGAGGCUCAACCCCGGGAUUGCAUUUGGAACUGUGUGGCUGGAGUGUAGGAGAGGCAGGCGGAAUUCCUAGUGUAGCGGUGAAAUGCGUAGAUAUUAGGAGGAACACCAGUGGCGAAGGCGGCCUGCUGGACGGUGACUGACGUUGAGGCUCGAAAGCGUGGGGAGCAAACAGGAUUAGAUACCCUAGUAGUC